AGGAAGGCGGAGAAGGUUCGGAAUGUGCGGCCGGAGCUUAUGGAAGGCGGCAGCUGAGAAGGUUCGGAAUGCUACCAAAGAGACACACAGAGCUUGAGGAAGUUUAGGUUUAGGUUUAGGUUUAGGUUUAGGCGGAACGUAGGUUUAGGUUUUGGUUAAAUGUGGUUUAGUCUACUUAAUUUUUUUUAAUUUUGGUUUAGUUUUGUAAACUGAUAUUUAAUUUUAAUAAAAUAU
rnacentral:lncRNA from 1 species